rnacentral:rRNA from 1 species
GGGUUGUGAGGUUAAGCGACUAAGCGUACACGGUGGAUGCCCUGGCAGUCAGAGGCGAUGAAGGACGUGCUAAUCUGCGAAAAGCGUCGGUAAGGUGAUAUGAACCGUUAUAGCCGGCGAUGUCCGAAUGGGGAAACCCAGUGUGAUUCGUCACACUAUCGUUAACUGAAUACAUAGGUUAACGAGGCGAACCGGGGGAACUGAAACAUCUAAGUACCCCGAGGAAAAGAAAUCAACCGAGAUUCCCCCAGUAGCGGCGAGCGAACGGGGAGCAGCCCAGAGUCUGAAUCAGCUUGUGUGUUAGUGGAACGGUCUGGAAAGUCCGACGGUACAGGGUGAUAGUCCCGUACACCAAAAUGCACAGGUUGUGAACUCGAAGAGUAGGGCGGGACACGUGGUAUCCUGUCUGAAUAUGGGGGGACCAUCCUCCAAGGCUAAAUACUCCUGACUGACCGAUAGUGAACCAGUACCGUGAGGGAAAGGCGAAAAGAACCCCGGCGAGGGGAGUGAAAAAGAACCUGAAACCGUGUACGUACAAGCAGUGGGAGCACCUUCGGGUGUGACUGCGUACCUUUUGUAUAAUGGGUCAGCGACUUAUAUUCUGUAGCAAGGUUAACCGUAUAGGGGAGCCGCAGGGAAACCGAGUCUUAACUGGGCGUUAAGUUGCAGGGUAUAGACCCGAAACCCGGUGAUCUAGCCAUGGGCAGGUUGAAGGUUGGGUAACACUAACUGGAGGACCGAACCGACUAAUGUUGAAAAAUUAGCGGAUGACUUGUGGCUGGGGGUGAAAGGCCAAUCAAACCGGGAGAUAGCUGGUUCUCCCCGAAAGCUAUUUAGGUAGCGCCUCGUGAACUCAUCUUCGGGGGUAGAGCACUGUUUCGGCUAGGGGGUCAUCCCGACUUACCAACCCGAUGCAAACUACGAAUACCGAAGAAUGUUAUCACGGGAGACACACGGCGGGUGCUAACGUCCGUCGUGAAGAGGGAAACAACCCAGACCGCCAGCUAAGGUCCCAAAGUCAUGGUUAAGUGGGAAACGAUGUGGGAAGGCACAGACAGCCAGGAUGUUGGCUUAGAAGCAGCCAUCAUUUAAAGAAAGCGUAAUAGCUCACUGGUCGAGUCGGCCUGCGCGGAAGAUGUAACGGGGCUAAACCAUGCACCGAAGCUGCGGCAGCGACACUAUGUGUUGUUGGGUAGGGGAGCGUUCUGUAAGCCUGCGAAGGUGACCUGUGAGGGUUGCUGGAGGUAUCAGAAGUGCGAAUGCUGACAUAAGUAACGAUAAAGCGGGUGAAAAGCCCGCUCGCCGGAAGACCAAGGGUUCCUGUCCAACGUUAAUCGGGGCAGGGUGAGUCGACCCCUAAGGCGAGGCCGAAAGGCGUAGUCGAUGGGAAACAGGUUAAUAUUCCUGUACUUGGUGUUACUGCGAAGGGGGGACGGAGAAGGCUAUGUUAGCCGGGCGACGGUUGUCCCGGUUUAAGCAUGUAGGCUGGUUGUCCAGGCAAAUCCGGAUAAUCAAGGCUGAGGUGUGAUGACGAGGCACUACGGUGCUGAAGUAACAAAUGCCCUGCUUCCAGGAAAAGCCUCUAAGCAUCAGGUAACAUCAAAUCGUACCCCAAACCGACACAGGUGGUCAGGUAGAGAAUACCAAGGCGCUUGAGAGAACUCGGGUGAAGGAACUAGGCAAAAUGGUGCCGUAACUUCGGGAGAAGGCACGCUGGUGUGUAGGUGAAGUCCCUGCGGAUGGAGCUGAGACCAGUCGAAGAUACCAGCUGGCUGCAACUGUUUAUUAAAAACACAGCACUGUGCAAACACGAAAGUGGACGUAUACGGUGUGACGCCUGCCCGGUGCCGGAAGGUUAAUUGAUGGGGUUAUCCGUAAGGAGAAGCUCUUGAUCGAAGCCCCGGUAAACGGCGGCCGUAACUAUAACGGUCCUAAGGUAGCGAAAUUCCUUGUCGGGUAAGUUCCGACCUGCACGAAUGGCGUAAUGAUGGCCAGGCUGUCUCCACCCGAGACUCAGUGAAAUUGAACUCGCUGUGAAGAUGCAGUGUACCCGCGGCAAGACGGAAAGACCCCGUGAACCUUUACUAUAGCUUGACACUGAACAUUGAGCCUUGAUGUGUAGGAUAGGUGGGAGGCUUUGAAGCGUGGACGCCAGUCUGCGUGGAGCCAACCUUGAAAUACCACCCUUUAAUGUUUGAUGUUCUAACGUUGGCCCCUGACCGGGGUUGCGGACAGUGUCUGGUGGGUAGUUUGACUGGGGCGGUCUCCUCCCAAAGCGUAACGGAGGAGCACGAAGGUUAGCUAAUCCUGGUCGGACAUCAGGAGGUUAGUGCAAUGGCAUAAGCUAGCUUGACUGCGAGCGUGACGGCGCGAGCAGGUGCGAAAGCAGGUCAUAGUGAUCCGGUGGUUCUGAAUGGAAGGGCCAUCGCUCAACGGAUAAAAGGUACUCCGGGGAUAACAGGCUGAUACCGCCCAAGAGUUCAUAUCGACGGCGGUGUUUGGCACCUCGAUGUCGGCUCAUCACAUCCUGGGGCUGAAGUAGGUCCCAAGGGUAUGGCUGUUCGCCAUUUAAAGUGGUACGCGAGCUGGGUUUAGAACGUCGUGAGACAGUUCGGUCCCUAUCUGCCGUGGGCGCUGGAGAAUUGAGGGGGGCUGCUCCUAGUACGAGAGGACCGGAGUGGACGCAUCACUGGUGUUCGGGUUGUCAUGCCAAUGGCACUGCCCGGUAGCUAAAUGCGGAAGAGAUAAGUGCUGAAAGCAUCUAAGCACGAAACUUGCCCCGAGAUGAGUUCUCCCUGAGACUUUAAGUCUCCUGAAGGAACGUUGAAGACGACGACGUUGAUAGGCCGGGUGUGUAAGCGCAGCGAUGCGUUGAGCUAACCGGUACUAAUGAACCGUGAGGCUUAACCUUACAACGCCGAAG